UCUUGAUAGAACCUGUAAUAAGCUCUUAGAAUUGUAUUUUUUCACUUCAUAGUGUUACCAGCAAAACGGCAAUGUAGCAAAGGCAACUGAGUGGUUGAAGAAAGCAACGUCACUACCCGUAUCCACAGAUGAUGACAAAGAAUCAUACGAUCAAGCUCGACAACUGCUAUCCACGUUAUGACGAUGCCUCCCAUUGGCUACCACAAACUGUCUCUAGAUUGGCCAGUUGGUUUCACGUGGUCUGGUUACCUGUGCCCAAUCUUCAAGCUCUUGCACAUGCAAUUUAUUAUGGGAACAUUUUGAAUGAAUUUUGUCGUCUCCUUAGCGAGGAGAGAAAAUGAACUAGUAAGACAUUUUAUCUAGCUCUUUUUUACGAAACCGUUAUUUUUUAUUUAUUCUGUUUUCAGUUCAACAACGAUUUUAAUUUCUAAAUGAUAUUGAGAAGAAAGCUGCAAGUUCUUAACACUGAUUAUCUUUACCUUCAUUUAUAUUUUAAGAAAUAUUCUUUGUCUUAAAAAGACGUUUGUAGAAUGGAUAAAGCGAGUUACCUGCAAAGCGACUUUAACUAAGUUUAAUCUUUACGUUUAUAUAUACAAAAAAAAAGGAAAUUAUUUUAGCCUACUCUUUAAAUAUUAAAUAUGCUUUAUCAUUUAAAUUCACUCAAAAGGCAAAACACGAUUUGAAGUCUAGAUUUCGGACUGAUAAAACUUUGCCUAAUAAAUCUCUUGAUAAUUAUCACUGUAUAUUUUUACUCUUUAAUCAUUUGUGCUUUGAUUCACCCUGCGGGCUUUCCAAAAUACAAGACUCUUAAAAUAUAUACAGUGAAAUCACACAGUAAAUUAAAGAUUUUCCACAGACGUACUGCAGUUUUUAAGUUUAAUUUUCGCAUUCUAGUUCAUUCGCAGAUUAACAAAUCGCGGUAUGUACUGUGGGACUUCAGUACAGCUUAACACCCAGGGAUUUGAGAAAAUGGGUUUGUUGCAACGGGGUGUCGUUUUAAAUUUUGUCUAAUGGUGCAAUAACAAUGGAAUAUAAUGAAGUUAUCACGGACUUCCAUCUCUGUUAAUCUAUUUCACGUUAAGUGUGGUGAAAUUUAUUCUGUGUUAAAUCUGGAAAGCUUUUAAGUUUGACAAUCUACAUUCUGUUCGUUUUCGCAAGGAUUUUGUCAUAUCGGUGUUCGCUCUAUACGAGUGCUGUUCCGUACGUUGUACUGCAACUUUGGCCUUAAUGACGUGCAAGUCGUUAUAUUGAUGUUCCACUGUCUUAUUUGUCAUUUCGUAGAAGAGCCCUCGACAUGAAUUUCAGUAUAAUUUUAUUCUGUUAAAAUGAGCACUUUUUUCUUUUCUAGCACAAAGCUUACCCUGUGUACAUGUUUAAAUCGCUCACUGAAAUAAAGCCAAAAACCAAUUUGAAUUUGA